UCGGGGUCGGGGGGCCGGGAGGCUGGUCGGGGGGUCGGAAGGGAGGCUGGGUCGGGAGGCUGGUCCUUGGCUGAGCCCUGCCCCGCCCGGGGUGCGGCUGCCGGGCAGGAGGAGGAAGCCGCAGCGGUUCCGGGCACAGAUCGCGUUGCCCGGAGCCUGCAGCCGCCGCCGGCAGAAGCGUCCGGCGGAGGGGCCGGACCGGAGGGGCGGCGCUGGGAAGAUCUGCAGCCGCCCAGAGAACUGAGCUGGGGCCGAGCCCGUUGGCCUGGGUCGGCGUGCCCUGUGGAUGGGCGUGGUACAGAUUUGCUGCUAGCACAGACUUAGCUCCCUCUGCCGUAGUUUGCCAGGUGGCUGGAGGCACCGCAGCAAGAGAGGACCUGUAAGAGCUCGUCUUGCCUUGGGGGAACAUGCAGCGCGGUGGCAUCACUGUUGAGAACCCCUACGCCAGCGUGAAUAUUCCGCGAGGUCAGCUCGAGAACAGCUUCAUUAAGCGCUACCUGGGGGAGGAGCAGCCCUCGCCCACUGUCAUUGUUAAUCCUGGGGCCGUGCCCACCUACCCAGCCCCAGAGCAGCUGAAUGGGGCCAGUAAAUCGGUGCCACUGGAUAGUUGGGAUGAUUCAAAAGUCCUGACGCGGGAGUCCUGGGCCCAGCCGUAUAACCCUUAUGCCAGCCUGAAGCUGCUGAACGGCGCUUCCUCCACCCCGCUCUACAGCAUCGAGCUAGACAAGCACCAGAAGAGUCCUGAGGUGGGCAAGGACAGUGGCUGCUGCUGCUGUAAGUACUGCCCCUGCUGCCGGAAAUGCUGCUGUGUCGUCUCCUAACCCCACGAGCCCUGACCCCUGGCCACACCCAGGCUGUCGGCCUGAGCCAGCCUCCUUAAGGAGCUGGGAUCCUGCCCGUAGAACUGCAGCCAGCGGGCUGGGAUGGACAGCCCCUGAGCUAUGGUGCCCAUCCUAGCAGGAACUGUGGGGCGCCUCUGGGGGCGAGCGGAGCCAACAGCAGCCUUGCAGUCUCCUGAGACUCUCAGUGAUCUUUGACUCUCUCGGGGCGUGGGGAGGGGGUGUGACUAUAUUUGCCCUGGUGGCAGGGCGGCUUUCUAGACCUUGUUUAUCCUACGGAAAGUGAGCUCAGGUGCCAUGGUGAUGGGCACGUAGCAGUGAUGUGCUGCCAGGAUCGUGACCAGGCCUCGGGGGAGUUUCAAGACAUGCUGAUGAAGCCUGGAGUGCCUCGUGCAGUGCCCUGUGGUGGAAACCUGACCGCUUGCUCCCACUUACUGUCUGGCUGGGAAACAGCCCUGAUGCAACAGGCCGUGCAGCUGUGCUGACCCCCACGCAGACAAAGACAUGCCCCGGUUUCACCCAUUGGAGAAGCAAGGGGGGGCCUGAGCAGUGUUUCAUGGUGCUUGUGGAUUCUCCCUGCCCCUCCCCGUGGCUGAGGCAUGCUGGGAACAGUCUCGUCUAGCUGCAAAGGCUGCGUGCCUCUUGAUUGUGCGGGGAAGUGGCCUUGCAAACCAAGGCCUUGUCUACACACAACAGUCAUGGUUCAUGUGGUACAAUUCUCUAGUGUGGCUGCAGCUAGAUCGAGGGAAAGGUGCUCAGACUGGUCUAGCAUCUGGUAGGGGAAGGGAAUGAGCUCUACUGGUACGAAGCACCUGGAUCCUGCUCACGCUAGGACUUGGGCUGGUAGAACGGGGUAGGGAACGCUCACCCCUGACCCACACGGCUGAGAGGUACAAACUCAGUUUGCUAAGCAGGCUGGAAUGAGGAUCCUGCCAGUCCUUGCCUGCUCGCCCUCUGGACAAAAGAAGGAAACACACCCAGGACAAACAAACAAACCAAGCAGCUUGGAGAAUGUGCUGGGCUCUGCUCUGGGGAUGUGCCAUGGCUGGACACACUGGCCUCUGGGUCUGAACUCCCAGUGGGAGGAGACUGUUCUGGCACCUCAUCCCCCUCGGUGCUGGCAGGAGCUGCUUUCCAGGGCUUGGGUGGCCUGCUGUCCCUGCAGUGCAGGCAGGGGCUGUGCCCUUGUACCCCCAGCUUGGUCUGGAGAGGGGGCAGCAGGCCAGCCCUGCUCUACUGGCCAGUGCCCGGCUGUUGGUGUUAGUGCCAGUGCUGCUGUGGGACUAGUGCAGGCUGCCGAGGAGGGUUCAGAAUGAAAUGGGGAGGGGAGGGGAAGGGAAGGAGUGGGACAAGGGGUGUGGAGUCCUCUAAUCAGAUGGCCAGGAAUAGGGUGUAAUGAAGUCUUUGGGUCUGCUCCCUUGGGGGAGUUUCUAAAGCAGAAGCCCCAGCCCUGAUGUGGGGGGCAGGGCCAUGGGGAGUAGCGGUGCUGUCCUCUGCACGGGCAGAGGGGCGCCAGCUGGUUGGGUAAUGAGCAAGGGGAAUGAGGCAGCACCUCUCUGCCCUUCACGCCGGGUGCCCCUUCCCAUGCACUGCAGCUGGCUGAUUGCUGCUCAGUCCCUCUGCAGCUUGUCAGUGUCACCCCAGACUUGGCUUUCCUGCCAGGUGUCAUGCGUGCUCUGUGCAAGGCCAAGUGGUUUGCAUGUGAAACCUGAACCAAACCCACUGUUGUCCUUCAUAAACAGCCCCAUGCAGCGCUGGUGCCGGCUCCGACCUGCCUCACAGGUGAGUUUCUGCCCUAGACAAGGGGUGUUUCUCUUGCAGCAGCUGCACUGUGUAAGUGCUGGCACAGCCGGGGCCCAGGGGGCUUGGGGCACGGUGGUAAAACUCCCUGAGCCCUGUGCUAGCGCUUACCCCAUUGCUAGACCUGCUGCAUCACUCCUCGAGAGCAGCCGGGCCACUGUCUCUGGGGCAGGUGCCCUGACUGAGUAGUGCAGCAGGACGGGGCAGGGACCAUGCCCAGGGUCCUGUGUGCAGAAUCUCAGCUUGCCCGGCUAGGAAGAUUCUAACCGUUGUGUAGGCUGGGUAGAAUUCAGCUUUUAUUUGUUUGUGAUCUCUACGGAGAGUAUCAAUGUUUAUUUUUAAGAAUAUUUUUAGUUUUAUUGAUUUCAAUUUUCACAGUAGGGGAAGUUAUUGGAGAGUCAGAAAAUGGAGGGUCGGACAAUUAUUUAAUGACCGUAGACGAUGAUAUUCAAAAAGUUAAAGAUUUAAAACCAUUAAAACACAAACUCUCGAAGUAUACAAAGGAAGUAGGCAAUGUAAGAAAAAUGCUGCUUUGAUAUAAGGCGAUCUGUAAAUUUGGGGUAUUCUCAAUGGAAACAGUUUUUGGUCAUUUGGGUGUGUAUGGUGAAAUCGAUGUUCAUGGAUAUUUACCGAUAAAAGUCGAAUCCUUCCAACCCUACCUUGAUGAUUAUAAAGAAAACCUUCCCCGUGAGGGCUCGCUAUAAGACAGCCUGAAACAAUCGUUCUGAGAGGUGUGAACAGCCCGGCCCACCCUCUUGAUGUGUGUUGACUCAAACCUAAUGAUGUCAGCAUUUGAACUAUUUCACUGCUGAUCACUGUAGCAGAAACUCCCGGCUCAUUUUUGCUCACUCUAACCCUAGCUGCCUCCCAGAUAUCCCCAGGUACCAAAAGCUCCCACUGUCUCCUGCCCAGCUGCCAGAACUUCCCCCUGCCAACAUCCAGCCCAGAACUCUGCAGCAGGGGACAGUGUCAGCUCCAUGGACUGGAAUGUCACUGGGACGCUGGGCGUACAGUCCAGGGGGUGGGGUUCCAUGGGUGGGACCAAGGAGCCAUGCUGCAGAGCUCCAGCUCGUUGCCUUCACCCAAGUGCAUUGAGCCAUGAUUGCCCGCAAGGAGUGACCCAGGAGCCCGUCUGCCUCUUGUCCCUCAGCUGCGUUGCUCCCCCCUCCAGGUGAUCUAGAGCAAUAGGCCAGUUGUACUCCAACUAGUGCCUCCAAAGGCCAAUUUGUCCCUUGCCAGGCGAGUGUGAACGCUCCGUGCAUCGUCGCCGGUCCCUGGAUCACAAGCUGCAGUGUAAAGAGCGUUGCAUGGGGUGUCCAGCCCCCAGCUCUGAUGGAAGCUGCAGCGCGUGCCUCCCAUAGACCCCCAGGUGAGGCCUGUGGCUUGCCUGCCGGGGUGCCAUGCAGCCGCGUAGCCAGGACUGGAUGCUGCUGCUGCCAGCUCUGCAUGGAUUCAAUGGGCAUUGUGUGCACAUAGCUACAGGACUGCCCUGGCUGGGACAGCGGCAGAGGUCCUGUCUAUAACACGGCUGUGGGAGGGCCCAGUUCCCAGCAGGGCUCCCCCGGGCGUUUCCUGGUGCCCCUGUCACUGUUGCUGUGAAUAAAGUAAUUUGACCAGUGUC